UCCCUCUCAGGGUCUCAUCUGGAGAAUUUCCAGUACUCUACCAGUCUUGGCUAUGGGAGGGAGAGUCAAGUGGAGGCCUAGCCAUUCCAUUUCUAGCUUGGGCAGUGGCUAGCAAGUGGAAGGCAAUCUGCCACAAGU